UAUUUAGUUAGUACGUACCUACAGAAGAAGCACCGGCUAACUCCGUGCCAGCAGCCGCGGUAAUACGGAGGGUGCGAGCGUUAAUCGGAAUUACUGGGCGUAAAGCGCAUGCAGGCGGCCUGUUAAGUCAGAUGUGAAAGACCCGGGGCGUUAACCUCGGAAUUGCAUUUGAAACUGGCAGGCUAGAGUCUUGUAGAGGGGGGUAGGAAUUUCAGGUGUAGCGGUGAAAUGCGUAGAGAUCUGAAGGAAUACCAGUGGCGAAGGCGGCCCCCUGGACAAAGACUGACGCUCAGAUGCGAAAGCGUGGGGAGCAAACAGGAUUAGAUACCCUGGUAG
rnacentral:rRNA from 1 species